rnacentral:rRNA from 1 species
AUUGAACGCUGGCGGCAUGCCUUACACAUGCAAGUCGAACGGCAGCACGGGUGCUUGCACCUGGUGGCGAGUGGCGAACGGGUGAGUAAUAUAUCGGAACGUGCCCUAGAGUGGGGGAUAACUAGUCGAAAGAUUAGCUAAUACCGCAUACGAUCUACGGAUGAAAGUGGGGGAUCGCAAGACCUCAUGCUCGUGGAGCGGCCGAUAUCUGAUUAGCUAGUUGGUAGGGUAAAAGCCUACCAAGGCGACG